rnacentral:rRNA from 1 species
ACUGCUCAGUAACACGUGGACAACCUGCCCUUAGGUUGGGUAUAAACCCGGGAAACUGGGUAUAAUACCCGAUAGGUCUCGAUUGCUGGAAUGCAUCGAGAUUUAAAGCUCCGGCGCCUAAGGAUGGGUCUGCGGCCUAUCAGGUAGUAGUGGGUGUAGCGUACCUACUAGCCUACGACGGGUACGGGUUGUGAGAGCAAGAGCCCGGAGAUGGAUUCUGAGACACGAAUCCAGGCCCUACGGGGUGCAGCAGGCGCGAAAACUUUACAAUGCUGGCAACAGCGAUAAGGGAACCUCGAGUGCCAGGUUACAAAUCUGGCUGUCGAGAUGCCUAAAAAGCAUUUCAUAGCAAGGGCCGGGCAAGACCGGUGCCAGCCGCCGCGGUAACACCGGCGGCUCGAGUGGUAACCGUUAUUAUUGGGUCUAAAGGGUCUGUAGCCGGCCGGAUAAGUCUCUUGAGAAAUCUGGCAGCUUAACUGUCAGGCUUUCAGGAGAUACUGUCUGGCUCGAGGCCGGGAGAGGUGAGAGGUACUUCAGGGGUAGGGGUGAAAUCUUGUAAUCCUUGAAGGACCACCAGUGGCGAAGGCGUCUCACCAGAACGGACCUGACGGCAAGGGACGAAAGCUAGGGGCACGAACCGGAUUAGAUACCCGGGUAGUCCUAGCCGUAAACGAUACUCGCUAGGUGUCGGCCACGGUGCGACCGUUGUCGGUGCCGUAGGAAGCCGUGAAGCGAGCCACCUGGAAGUACGGCCGCAAGGCUGAAACUUAAAGGAAUUGGCGGGGGAG